rnacentral:rRNA from 1 species
GAUGAACGCUAGCGGCAGGCUUAACACAUGCAAGUCGAGGGGUAUAGUUCUUCGGAACUAGGAGACCGGCGCACGGGUGCGUAACGCGUAUGCAAUCUACCUUUUACAGAGGGAUAGCCCAGAGAAAUUUGGAUUAAUACCUCAUAGUAUGUGAGAAUCGCAUGGUUUUCACAUUAAAGUUCCAACGGUAAAGAUGAGCAUGCGUCCCAUUAGCUAGAUGGUAAGGUAACGGCUUACCAUGGCGACGAUGGGUAGGGGUCCUGAGAGGGAGAUCCCCCCACACUGGUACUGAGACACGGACCAGACUCCUACGGGAGGCAGCAGUGAGGAAUAUUGGGACAAAUGGGCGCAAGCCUGAUCCAGCCAUGCCGCGUGCA